rnacentral:sRNA from 1 species
CCCUAGCCCCGAUAGAAGCGGCAUCCUUUUAAAAAAAAAUCCCAGCCGUUGAGGUUGGGAUUUUUUUUUAAAAGAUAGAGCGGAUAGCGGGUUAAAGC